rnacentral:lncRNA from 1 species
UCGGAAAGCCACGUAGGAUUAAGUUUCUGGCGAAGCAAACGACAUAGUUUAAGCUAAACCCUAAACGACGUAGUUUUAUGCCUAUUUAGGGAAUUAAAUAUAAUCCAAUCGAAAAAUUGAGGGCAAAAUCAAAUUAGGGUUCUUGAGAAAAACACACUCAAUCCAUGUCUUCGUCUUCUUCAUCCCGCCGGAACUUCGCCUCCGCCACCGCCAUCUGUUACCACUGCUCUCUCCGACUUCAAAUCUCUUCUCCACCUCUCUGCCACUGCCCUCUGAUCCCUUCCAACACCAAGCCACGCAGAAACCUCCACCGCCGCUGCUACCUUCGUCCCCUGCCCUUUCAAUACUAACCACCGAGUGCGCCGAUUUCAAUGAAGAACCUUGGCCGGAAGCUAUCGCGCUGGAUUUUAUUCGGUUUCUUCCGUCGGAGAUUUGGGCAAUUCGUGGUGAAAUUGAAUCAUGGGGCGGUGGUUUCCCCGCUGCUUACUCUUCGAGAAUUUUGCUUGCGAUUCUGAGGCAUGACAGAGAAGAGUAAGAAGGGACUGUUCAAUCUUGUAUAAAAUGACGAUGUUUUGGUCCUAAUUUAAUGACUCAGCACAAGCUUUCCACAUAGGUGACACGUCAGUGCAAUUAGUUGCCGGAAAACGUCAUUAAGGGAAAAACGAGAAUCGGAAUUAAGUUCAAGGAUUUUAACAAGAAAAUUUAAAGGUAAAAGGAAAAAUGCGAAUUCGGGAAAACUAUGAGGAUCUUGGCGCUAUUUGCCCAAAAAUGUAGUAUGUGUUUGUUGGUUUCGCGUAUGUAAUAGCACUUGUGUUAAAAUAAAAUACUACUAAAUGGUCCAGCCCGACAAGUGUGUCCAGACCGGCCCAAUAUUUAGCUAGACUGGCCCAUGUUUUAAUAGGUCAAGAAUAUGUAGGCCCGUUUUCAUUUUGUCUCAUGAGCUCGAGUAGGACCGGCCCGAUUGAUUUCAGGUCGAGUCAGGCCAUCAUUUUUAUUUUAUUUUAAUGAAAGAAUAAAUAAUGUUAAAGCUCGUGUGAAGGUGAGCUCACACACGUAUAUUUUAAAGAUCAUGUGAAGGUGGCCAUCAUUUUUAUUUUAUUUUAAUGAAAGAAUAAAUAAUUUUAAAGAUCGAUGGUUUUUUUUUUUAAUAAAACUUAAAACUAUGUAUUAACUACACUAUUUUAUUAAAUUAGAACACACGUAUACGAGUCAGGUGACGUUGCAUUGUACUUUGUAGGUAUGAGUACUUAUUUCUUUUGUUUGUUAAAUGACUCUUACUAACUUGACUCCAUUGAAGCCUUAUAUAUAAGCAAAUUUUAGUAUUAUGGAUGCAAGUACGAAAAUAAUUUGUGCUUGAGCCAAUCGAUCAUUUACAAUAUCUGCAAAAAGGAUAUAUACAUAAAGGGAGUGGAUCAUGUAUAGGGCUGGAGCCAGACUUUCGAUUCAGGCGGGUCCAAUUUUUUUCUUCAAUAAAAUUAAUAAUUAAAUAAUAAAAAAAUUAAAAAUAAAUAAUAAAUAAUACUUCAUUAACACAAUUAUAAUAUCAUUUAAUUUAUAUUACAAGUUAAAAAUAAAAAAUAAACAUGAUGCUUCGGGUUAAAUAGGAUCAUAUUCGUUGAUGAUGAACCAUCCACGCUUGUAGCAAGUAUUUGAAAGUGGGCACCGCACCAAACCAGACAUUACAUCGUUGGACCAAAAAUUGCUUGUAAAUAAAUUUGCAUAACUUUUACAAGAUUUAUUUUUUUUACAAGAUUAACUUUUAGUUCUUAAUGUAAUUGUCUGUCAUAAAUGAUAGCUUCUGUUAAUCUUGAAAAUAAACUAUGGGAUGGUGGCCCCGAGGGGAAGGGAGAGAUUGGUGUGAAUGCUUCUUGUCACACCGUUCAUAUAAGCUUAGGCCCUGUAUAUCAAAUUAGAGCUACCAAUUUCCUCAAAAAAAAAAAAAAAAAAUUAAGAGCUACCAAUGUUUUAAUUAUCCACAAUGAUUAAAGCUACUAAUGGAUUCUUUGUCAACAAACAAACAAACAAACGAUUAUAUGAGGCUACAACCAAUUGAGAAGACAGAGGACAAACAAUUGUAUGAGCAAGCUACCUUGUAGAAAGCCAGUCAGCGGCGCGGCGGCGUCAACUACGAUAGAGAGACAAAUUGUCUGCAAAAAGCGAAGGCAAUCAACGGCGCGGCUAAGCCAGUUAAAAGAAGCAGGGCAUAGUGCCAGCGAUUGAGAGGGAAGAAAUAAGAAUGUGAAAUUGCCAAGGCUAGGGUAUUCCCGUUGAAA